UAGUUUGGGUUGUAACCACUACCAAACUGAUGUAGGUAUAAAUUAUGUUACUUUUUUUUUUUAUGGAGAAGGAUUCAUGGAAGUCAAAGUGCCAAGGACCAGCAAGAGUCUCCAUGCAUUUCCUGCGUGCCUUGUUUGCCUCUGGUGAUGAGGGCCUCACCUCCUGUCAGUUUUGCCUUGGAUCCCACCCAUCAUUUUUUUUCCCCCCAAGAGUUUCUGAGGUCAUCAAAAUGUUGAUUGUUGGGCCAGCAAGAUGUCUCAGGGAAAGCACAUCCACAUAAGCAAGUCCAGUGACUUCAGUUCAAUCCCCAGAACCCACUGUGGAAAGGAAGAACUGACUCCUGAAGAUUGUCUUCUGGCUUCCGUGGGACCAGGUUGUUAGGAGGAUGCUGUCAAGAUACAGUAAGAAGCCUCUGCUUGGAGAAGAUGCAGGAGAUGGAGAAAUGAGUCCAUAAUAAUACAAACCAAGAAUCUGGAAAAUGAUUUUACCAGAAGUCACACUUGUGUGGAUGAAGAAGUUAGAUAAGUUUCUAAGUAAAGGAAACAGAGCACUUCUCUCUGUGUACACUGAGGACUGUCUGUGGAAGCCAGCUGCCACAAGGCACACCACGCCCUUUCCACCAGAAACCAAGACUUCGAGGACCCAAGCCUGCCUGUUUUGUCAAUAUCUUUGGAGGUCAAAGGAAACAGUUUAAUAGCCAAGAGGACUGGAAAGUUUGACCAAAAAGAAACAGGUUUAAAUAUAUUUCACCAAGCAAUAUUGUCUCCCAAACAUUAUUUCUCUUUCAAUUUCAAGCACAUUGUCAUGGGGCAUAGUGACUCAAGAAAAGGGCUGUUAAUGUGAAGUCAAGUCAGAUGCCUUUGUCAUUUCCCACUCUCUGUUUAUUUAAAAGAUAGCUUUGAGCCUAGGAGAUGGCUCCAUGGCUAAGAGUACUUGCCGUACAAAUAGGAAAACCCGAGUUCAAAUCCCACUCAUAUGACAAACUAAGUGUGGUGGUGUAAACCACUUGGGGCUGGAUAUAGGACUCACUAGGGCUUUCCGGCUGCCAGUGAGAGACUCCAUCUUAAGGAACAUGGUAUACAGAAAGAUACCUUGAGUUUUUUAGCCUUUGCACAAGUUCAAGAGGGAGUAUGCACACACACACACACACACACACACACACACACACACACACAUCAAGCACAUCCGUGUACAAACCACAGGAAAAAGACACCCUUAUUGACAUGUAGGUCAGAUACUGAUAUUAGGACACACCCAUUUGAAAGAUGUAAUUCUGUGGUUCAUUAAGACAUUUACAGGAUUGAGAACCAUGGCCUCUGUACCAGUCUGGAGCAAUCUUAUUAUUCUUACUGAAAUCUCCCUCUCUAUGGGCUGUCGCUUCCUUGGCAUCCACCAAUCAACUUUUUUUUCCCUCUGUGGCAGAGAAAUGAAAUCACACACAUCAUUCUGUGGCUGGCCUCUCUCUACUGUGUGACUUCUUUGAGACUUAACCCAGGGCUUUAUUCUUUCUUAGGGUUAAUAGUAUUCCACUCUCUUAAUGUCCUCCAUUACUUUCGGGCAUUUGAACCCUCGGUCUCCAGGUAGUGAUGUUCUUUGGGGGAGGUUUAGAAAGUGUGGCUUUGCUGGAGGAAGUGUUGUCAUAGGGGCGAGCUUUAAGAGUUUAAAACUUCAAGUCACUUCCAGUUAACUCUCUGCUUUAUCUCUGCAGUUGAAGCUGUUAGCUCUCAGCUACCAGUUCCAGCCACCAUGCCCACUGCUUUCUGCC